GCUCGGCCGCCGCGUCCCCGUGCUGUUCGCUGCUGAGCUGCAGCCCUCACAGAGCUCCAGCGCCAGGGGAUUGCCGUGCGAGCUGUAGGCACGUUCACAGACGGGUACCUUAAUGUAUAUGUGCUAAUAUAAAUUGCAUAAAGGAGGCGUUUUGGGAAGACAGAUGGGAGAAGAGAACCAGAGCCACUACCAGAACAUGACCUAAAUCAGGACAAACAUUGGAAGACUGUCAGAUGUUUAAAAAAAACAAGAAGGCUGGAUUUGACUCUGCAAGUAGCUUCUAGUAACCAGGGUGUUUCACAGUGCUGUAACAAGGACAAAGGAGACACAGUACAAGACCAAAUUAAGAUGCAGUCAAUUCGUCUGUGUGAUAAUCUUUGCAACUGGGAAAGGAAGAUUAAGACAUAAAGUCGUUGUCUUCAUGGAAAAAUGCUGGAAUUGCCUCUGUGGAUGUGUGCUGAGCUCUGGCUGCAGGGACUGCCAGGCCUUUAUUGCUGAAUUUUGAGGCCCAGGGAGCGCCCAGGAGAUUUGCCAAAAUCCGCUAUGAUUUCACCGCGCGAAACACCAACGAGCUCUCGGUGCUCAAGGACGAAAUCCUGGAGAACUAAUUCACCAAAUGGAUGAGCUGAAUGACGAGCUGCUAAAGAAGAUCACAAACAAUAAAAUUCAGCCUCCCCACAGGAAUUUCAAAGUGGAAAAGCCUCAGCAAGUUUUUGUGCCCCUCACCUUUGAAUCCAGCACUGAAGAAGUCAAAGCCUGGCUGGAGGCCAAGUCGUUCAGCAAAGAGACCGUGGAGCACCUGGGCAUCCUCACUGGAGCUCAGCUCUUCUCCCUCAACAGAGAGGAGCUGAAGAAGGUGUGUGGUGAUGAGGGAAACAGAGUGUACAGCAAGAUCACGGUGGAGAAAAACCUGCUGGAGAAAAGCAGAGGCGAGUCAGAGCUCCAAGAAAUCAUGAAGCGCCGCCAGGAAAGGAUUGAUUCUGCUAAUUAAAGUCUCUCUGCUUUAUUUCAGCUCUUAGCCCUAAGUAGUGCAGAAAAAAAGGGAAUGAAAGCAAUGAUUCCCGGCCCGGGCCGGAGGCAGCAGAGCUCCCCUUGGGGUCCAGCUGCCAUCAGAGUGACAAUUCCUUGAACACUCUUGGGAAGGGUUGACAUAAGACCAUGUCCCACUGGGAAAGGUGUUUUAAUUUUGCAUGAAGUAUUUUUUUUAUAACUAUAUAUUUUAUACUGGAAUUUUCCGUGCAUGCUAUCGGAGCAGGAUUCACAUGGGGCUGGAUGUACAAGGGCUGGACUCAAGCAGACAAAGACCCCCAGAGCUUUUCUCCGAGGGUGUCCCUGCUCCCCCCUCGCUGGCAGAGCAGGCGUGGCACAGCACGGAGAGGCAGCCUCAAGGCUGGAGUCUCUCCACGGGAAUCAGCUUUGGAACCCUGCACUGGUUUGGGUUUAAGGAAAGGACACUAAAGCUCAUCCUGUUCCACCCCCCAUCACGGGCAGGGACGCCUCUCACCAGCCCAAGUUGUUCCAAAUCCUGUCCAGCCUGGCCUUGGACACUUCCUGGGAUGGGGAUCACAGCCCCUCUGGGCAGCCUAAGGCAGCCCCAUUUCCAUUUCCUCCUCGGUGCAGGUGUCCCCUGCAGCCCACGAGCACAGGCCCGGUGACAACUCCCUGUCCCCCUCCUGUCCCCCUGUGCCCCCGCAUUGGACAAGGCUGGAAUGGCAACACACAUUCCCAAAGUCUGGCUGCUUCCUUAAACCCACGUCUCUGAGCAGCUGAAAUGAGCUCUCAGCGCCUAGAAAGGAGCAGGAGUGACAAACAAAGGGAUCUGGGUGUGGAAAUAGGUGAGUUCCACCUGCAGAGGCCAGGGCUCAGGGCAGCUGUGCAGCCCUUCCCUGGGGCACUGAUCCUGCACUGGAAUGUUGUGGUGUUGCCAAACCCGGCCUCAAACCAGCAGAAGAUAAGCCCUGACCAUUUGCUCCCGACCCAGGCACACCCACAGCCCUUCCCAGGGUGUUGGUCACUCGUCCCCACCUUCACCUUUUCAGUGCAAAAAGUCAGCUGAAAUGAUUCCCAAAUAGCUGAAACCCCAAAGCACACUGGGAAAGGCAGGUUUAACUCCAGAUAAAUGGGCAUAAGGGAAAAAAAAUCUAAUUCAGCACAGGAUGUUGCUCUUGACUUCCUGUUUUCCCUCAUAUAUGCAUUUGUAUAUAACAAUCUGUAAAUAGGGGUGAGGAAAAAUCU